GCCUGUCUGCCACCUUCCUUCAAAGCUCUGACUGUGGCAGGGCCGCCAAUAAAAAGAAAACUAUAAUUUAGUUUCUUCUAUUUUACACCCCCAAUUUUGGCCAGUAUAAAUUCAGAAUUAUAAAUUAAAAUGUUCAAAACCUACAAUUUCUCACCAAGGAUUUGCUAAACACUCAAAUGCGGUGACAUGUGCCAGAAGUGAAUUGGUGUUCUAUUUUUAAAGAGUUAAGUCACUGAGAAAAUAUCAAUUUUUUUUUUAGUUCUAAUUCUGAGAAUCGUUUUUAUAAACAUUUGUGAAUACAUUUGAAAUCUAAAUGCAUAUAAAUCCUUCUGACUAAAAUGAACCCUGGUAUAUUUUCACAGCUUGGAAAGUUUUAAAAAAUUUCCUGAGAAAUUUGAAGAAUCGAGAAACUUGAGUUACGACCCACAGACAGUGGACCAAAUUCUUAAACACCGUAAAACUCAGCUUGAAGUUGUUCCUCAAAUGAGGGACAAACAACUUCUCUUCGGUUACUUUUACUUCAUACUGGUUAAGCGACAUUACUUUAGAAGAUGGGGACACAGAGAUUAGACCUGCACUGUACCUGAUUAGGUGAGCAAACCGGAAAGUCCUCCACGGGCGGGAUUAAGCCCUGAGCAAUCAGCUGUCCGUAAGAGGGAGGAGCCUCUCUGCGCAGCAGUUCCGCCUCCACGCGUGACAGCUGGGUCUCAAACGACCUUUGAAAAGGGGAAGAAAAGGUCAAAAGAAGGCAAGAGCAAAGUUCUACCAUCAGAACCGGAGAUGACCGGCUGAGUCUUCAACCGCAUCUCUCCUCUCUGGGAACACUCCUCUCAGCAAGGCUGAAGUGGACCGUGUGUCCAGGGAGCUUGAUGCCAGCAAGGACCUACAUUACUGUGUUUCAAUAGGCUGGAAACCUCUGUAAAUAAAGUCAGAGUGAAAGGAACCCCAAUGCACCCCCUGCAGUAGCUGGACGGCUGGAGACCUGACUCUGCAUUGUGCUCUUCUGCUGAAGUAUGGUAAAGUUCUUCAGCUACUCAUGAUGGCUGUUACGGCCUGUGCAUCUGUGCCCCAUCUGUGACCUUUAGCUGUUUGGCGUGUUCUUUGUUAAUUGAUAAUUUGCAAGGACUGAAGGCAGCUGUCCCCACAGCAGCCUCUUGGGAGACGUCUCUGCCAUGAACUUCUCUCAAUUUAUCUUAUACCACACUGGAAGCGCUCUCCCUGUACUCCAUCCUCCUUGUGGCUAAACCAAGAACUAUCUCUCACUGAACUGCACGUGGCCAGUUCAUGUGCUGUUAGUCCUUUGUGUGUUUCCACGGCUCCAGACCAGAUGAACCAUGUCCUGAUUCUUGGAGAAGGCCGGGCAUCCUAUACACUUCCCUGGAGAAAACCCCUCCAGGGUUUCUUCUCUACAUCCUAUUCAGACUUCAAAGGGCGCCUCUGGAGUGAGGACUUCCGCAUGCCGGCACCAUGAGGGCUUCCACACAGUUUCAGGGACUUCAGGUCACUCAUGGCUCUCAGCUUACCCCGCCCACCAAUCCCCUCCUUACUGUGCGCCUGCCUUGUGACACUAUGACUCCCUCACUUCCUUCUCACUUGUACAAUGCUAUGAACACUGGAGGCUCUCCGAUAUGUGGAAAAACUGUAACUGAGAACAACAGCUUACAAAAUCCCCUCAAGGCAGGAACCUAGUAAAUAUAUUUCUUGUCUCAUAAAGCUAAAUAAUAUUCUGUA